rnacentral:lncRNA from 1 species
AUGUCACUUCUCACAUUCACUGUCCUCUUGUGUUUUUCAGAAACGAGACGGGGACGUUUAUCAGAAACGAGACGGGGACGUUUAUCAGGAUCUGGGACAGCAAGACGUGGACGCCUACGACACUCUCUAUCCCGGGAAUUAUUAGUCGCUGGCCUGAGAAACUCUCAAACUGUGCAGCUCAUUCAGUCUUCAUGCUCUAAAAACUGUAUUUUUGCUUUGUUUAUGAGUAAGUUUUAUAAGAGUUUGGUUGAUCAUGAGAUUCUGUUUUAUUGUCCUUGUUUACAUGUGUCUUUGAGACAAGCGACACAAUUGAUGUAUAAAAUACAUGUGUAAGGCUCUUCAUUUCAACAUAAAAUUAUAUUUUUUACUUGGACAGAUUAAAAGUGCUUCUAUGGCAUCAAAAGCACCUUUAUAUUUAAGAGUAUGUCUGUGCUUCUUCAGGAUCUGGGACAGCAAGACGUGGACGCCUACGACACUCUCUAUCCCGGGAAUUAUUAGUCGCUGGCCUGAGAAACUCUCAAACUGUGCAGCUCAUUCAGUCUUCAUGCUCUAAAAACUGUAUUUUUGCUUUGUUUAUGAGUAAGUUUUAUAAGAGUUUGGUUGAUCAUGAGAUUCUGUUUUAUUGUCCUUGUUUACAUGUGUCUUUGAGACAAGCGACACAAUUGAUGUAUAAAAUACAUGUGUAAGGCUCUUCAUUUCAACAUAAAAUUAUAUUUUUUACUUGGACAGAUUAAAAGUGUGUUUCAAUGUUGGCAUGACUAACUAUUUUUAAGAUGAACGUGUGCGGUUUCCGGAUAUUUUCAGUGGUACAAAAACAGCUUGUUUAUGCUGCCUGGCUAACUGGUAUUCUUAUCAUAUUAUUUUAGUUAACCCUCAUGUGGUGUUCGGGUCAACUUGUUCUCUUUCAAUUAGGACUGGUUUUAUAUUUCUGUUUGCAUCUGAUUAAUCGUGGGCCUCAUUUAUCUGAGAGUAGGCAUCUCAUUUUUUGAGUAAAAAACAAAUAAUUUGUGAGUAAAUUUGGAAAUAUGAAAAAAAAUAUGAAAAAAAUGGCUACUGUUGAUCACACUAGUCUACUCUAAUGUUUCAACAGGAAUUUUGUUUUGAAACUUUUGUUUUGUAAAAAAUAUGGCACAUAGUCACACUUGUGGUGUUCCCGGUCAAAAAUGACCGGCCUAUAAAAAAUAUCUUAUAAAUCACUCAUUAUACCAUAUUUUCACCCAAUCUCCGGAGAAGUAUUUUCUUUUUCCCGAAAAUACUAGUUAAUGUUAUCGCUUUGGACUGAAACUUAGUGACUUUGUUCCCAAAGGGUAUAACUACAUCCUAAAUUUUUUUUGGUAAAUUUUCUUACUUUUUUGUGGGGGUUUUGUUACCUUGUUACACUUGUGGUGUUCCCGGUCAAAAAUGACCGGCCUAUAAAAAAUAGCUUAUAAAUCACUCAUUAUACCAUAUUUUCACCCAAUCUUGGAUUCAAUCUUUUUGUCAACUUGUUCUCUUUCAAUUAGGACUGGUUUUAUAUUUCUGUUUGCAUCUGAUUAAUCGUGGGCCUCAUUUAUCUGAGAGUAGGCAUCUCAUUUUUUGAGUAAAAAACAAAUAAUUUGUGAGUAAAUUUGGAAAUAUGAAAAAAAAUUAUGAAAAAAAUGGCUACUGUUGAUCACACUAGUCUACUCUAAUGUUUCACUAGGAAUUUUGUUUUGAAACUUUUGUUUUGUAAAAAAUAUGGCACAUAGUCACACUUGUGGUGUUCCCGGUCAAAAAUGACCGGCCUAUAAAAUAAGUUGUGGUGUUCCCGGUCAAAAAUGACCGGCCUAUAAAAAUAGCUUAUAAAUCACUCAUUAUACCAUAUUUUCCAUUUAUAUAUGCCUGUGCUAUCGCAUGAUGUAUAUUUGUAAAUAUUGUCUAGUUCUGUGUGAGAACCUCACAGUUCCAAAACAAAUGUCAUAAUAUUUUGUCUGGAAGCUGUGAUGAAACAAGAACAUGAAAGAAAGAUUCUUUUGAAGUUUGUGUGUGUGUGUGUGUGUGUGUGUGUUAAUGUCAGAUGGAUAAAUGUAUAUUAGAUGCAGGUUAGGGUAGGAUCAAAUUUCUCUCUGUGGAAAGGAAUGUGUGUAAUACUCAAAAAAGUUUGUGUGUUUUAACCUGUGUGUGUCUGGGUAGCGUGUGUAUAAAUGUAUCGAUACAUGCACAGGUCCAAGGGCUCGAUGUUUGCAAGCACAUAUGCUCACAUGUGUACAUGAAAAUAAUGAACAUGCUCCUGAAAUCUAAAUUGUUCUGUUAUUUUCAGUCUCUCCCAUUCACUUUGAAUGGUCGGCCAUUGGGACCAUUUUUGAACAUGCCUACCCUCAGAUAAAUGAGGCCCACGAUUAAUCAGAUGCAAACAGAAAUAUAAAACCAGUCCUAAUUGAAAGAGAACAAGUUGACCAAAAGACUAGAAUCAAGGUAUUAGGUGAAAAGUAUGGUACUAAGUGAGUAGAGGUUUAUUAAGGAUAUUUUUUAUAGGCCGGUCAUUUUUGACCGGGAACACCACAAGUGUGACUAUGUGCCAUAUUUUUUACAAAACAAAAGUUUCAAAACAAAAUUCCUGGUGAAACAUUAGAGUAGACUAGUGUGAUCAACAGUAGCCAUUUUUUUCAUAUUUUUUUUUUUCUAUAUUUCCUAAACUUUAACUUCAUAAAUUAAUUUGGAUAAAUGUAUAUUAGAUGUUAGGGUAGGAUCAAAUUUCUCUCUGUGGAAAAGAAUGUGUGUAAUACUCAAAAAAGUUUGUGUGUUUUAACAUGUGUGUGUCUGGGUAGCGUGUGUAUAAAUGUAUCGAUACAUGCACAGGUCCAAGGGCUCGAUGUUUGCAAGCACAUAUGCUCAUAUGUGUACAUGAAAAUAAUGAACAUGCUCCUGAAAAAUAAAUUGUUCUGUUAUUUUCAGUCUCUCCCAUUCACUUUGAAUGGUCGGCCAUUGUGACCAUAUUUGACCAUGCCUACCCUCAGAUAAAUGAGGCCCACGAUUAAUCAGAUGCAAACAGAAAUAUAAAACCAGUCCUAAUUGAAAGAGAACAAGUUGACAAAAAGAUUGAAUCCAAGAUUGGGUGAAAAUAUGGUAUAAUGAGUGAUUUAUAAGCUAUUUUUUAUAGGCCGGUCAUUUUUGACCGGGAACACCACAAGUGUGACUAUGUGCCAUAUUUUUUACAAAACAAAAGUUUCAAAACAAAAUUCCUGUUGAAACAUUAGAGUAGACUAGUAUGAUCAACAAUACCAAUUUUCUUCAGAUUUUAUUUAAUAUUUCCAAAAUUAUUCCAAAAUUUUAAAAAAAUUACUCAAAAAAUGAAAUGCCUACUCUCAAAUAAAUGAGCCCUAUCGAUUAUUCAGAUGCAAAUCAAAAUAUAAAACCAAGUCCUAA